AGGAAGGGAUGCCAUUGAAAGGGACCUGGACAGGCUGGAGCAGUGGGCCCACUAGAACCUAAUGAGGAUCAACAAGUCAAAGUGCAAGCUGCUGCAGCUGGGUCAGGGCAAACCCAGACAUGAGUACAGACUGGGAGAAGAACUCAUUGAGAGCAGCCCUCUGGAGAGAGACUUGGGGGUUCUGGUGGACAAAAAGCUCAACAUGAGCCAGCAGUGUGCACUUGCAGCCCAGAAGGCCAACUGUGUCCUGGGCUGCAUCAACAGAAGGGUGGGCAGCAGGUGGAGGGAGGUGAUUGUCUCCCUCUAUUCUGCCCUGGUGAGGCCCCACCUGGAGCACUGCAUCCAUGUUUGGGGGCCCCAGCGCAAGAAAGAUGUGGACCUGUUAGAGGGAGUCCAGAGGAGGGCUACAAAGAUGAUCAGAGGGCUGGAGCAACUCUCUUAUGAAGACAGGCUGAGAGAGCUGGGGCUGUUCAGCCUGGAGAAGAGAAGGCUCUGGGGGGACCUUGUUGCGGCCUUUCAAUACUUAAAGGGGUCUUAUAAAAAGGAUGGAGAAAGACUCUUUACUCGGGUAGAUAGGAGAAGGAGGAAUGGUCUUAAACUAAAAGAGGAUAGAUUUAGACUAGACAUUAGGAUGAAUUUCUUCACGGUAAGGGUAGGUAAUGAGUCACUGGAACAGAUUGUCCUGAGAAGUUGUGGAUGUCCCAUUCCUGGAGGUGGUCAAGGCCAGAUUGUAUGGAGCCUUGGCCAACGUGAUCUAGUGGGUGGCAUCCUUGUCUAUGGCAGGGAAGUUGGAGUUAGAUGAUCUUUAAGGUCCGUUCCAACCUGAGCCAUUCUAUGAUUCUAUGAUCAGCAUAAUUUUCUUCCUAAAUCCAAAACAAGACAACAUACCAGCCACUAUGAAGAAAAUUAGCUCUAUUUCAGCCACAAACAGGAAGCUAAGCUUUAUUUGUACACUAUAUUUUAAAGGAGACAUCUCCAUCUUCCAUCUAAUCAGCUUUAUAUAUAUAUAUAUAUAAAGUGUAUUUAAUCUGAAUUGCUA
rnacentral:lncRNA from 1 species